AGUGAACGCUGGCGGUAGGCCUAACACAUGCAAGUCGAACGGCAGCACAGUAAGAGCUUGCUCUUACGGGUGGCGAGUGGCGGACGGGUGAGGAAUACAUCGGAAUCUACUUUUUCGUGGGGGAUAACGUAGGGAAACUUACGCUAAUGCCGCAUACGACCUACGGGUGAAAGCAGGGGAUCUUCGGACCUUGCGCGAUUGAAUGAGCCGAUGUCGGAUUAGCUAGUUGGCGGGGUAAAGGCCCACCAAGGCGACGAUCCGUAGCUGGUCUGAGAGGAUGAUCAGCCACACUGGAGCUGAGACACGGUCCAGACUCCUACGGGAGGCAGCAGUGGGGAAUAUUGGACAAUGGGCGCAAGCCUGAUCCAGCCAUACCGCGUGGGUGAAGAAGGCCUUCGGGUUGUAAAGCCCUUUUGUUGGGAAAGAAAAGCAGCAGGUUAAUACCCCGCUGUUCUGACGGUACCCAAAGAAUAAGCACCGGCUAACUUCGUG
rnacentral:rRNA from 1 species